rnacentral:rRNA from 1 species
GACGAACGCUGGCGGCGUGCUUAACACAUGCAAGUCGAACGGACAGGCCCGGCUUUUGUUUGGUUCUCGAUUGGCGAACGCGGGAGUAACACGUGAGUAACCUGCCCUUGACUGUGUGAUAACUUCAGGAAACUGGGGCUAAUACCCGAUAGGAGCUCCUGCUGCACGGGGGUGGAUGGAAAGUUUCGGCGGUUGUGGAUCGACUGGCGGCUUAUCAGCUUCUUUGUGUGGUAGGUGCGUACCAAGGCUUUGACGGGUAGCCCGCAUGAGAGGGUGGCCGGCGACAUUGGGCCUGCGAGACGGACCAGAAUCCUAUGGGAGGCAGUAGUGGGGAAUAUUGCAGAAUGGGCGGAAGCCUGAUGCAGAAACGCCGCGUGCGGGAUGACGGCCUUCGGGUUGUAAACCGCUUUCGAAUGUGACGAAGCGUGCGUGACGGUAAUGGGUAAAGAAGCACCGGCUAACUACGUG